rnacentral:tRNA from 1 species
GGUAGGAUAGCCUAAUGCUAGGCGGUGGGUUGUAGCCCCGAAGACAGAGGUUUAAUUCCUCUUCCUGCCA